CCAUGCCCAUGUGCGAGGGGAUUUGCUGCCCAAUCUCCGCAUGCCCCGACCGCGUCUCCACUCACGCUGUGCAAGUCCCCAGGUCCCCAGCCCCCACGGGACAAACCCUAGCCUCACCAAGCCCCAUAGCCCGCAGUUCUCCCUCCUCCUCCAUCCUCGUUAGGCACCGCCGCCAUUCUUCCUCCCUCCUCUCUGUCCUAUGACCACGCCGCCAGGAGGAAGCUGCUGUUCGUGGUGCCAUACCGCUGCCGGGGUGCUGCACAAGAGGCUAGGGGCCGCCGCCACCGCGAGCCAUGGGACGCCCGUCGAUGAGCCUCCGGGCAGGAAGCCGACGGCGAGCAUGCCAUCGACAAGCCGCCAGGAGGACCUACCGGCCGGUCCCGCGCCGUUGAGCAAGGGCCCUGGUUGCACCAUCGUGGAGGAGGCGCACCAUUAAGGAGUAGCAAUGCCGUCGAACUCCCUCUUCCCUUUUGGCUGCACCUUCCCCGUCCAUGAACAUUGUUAGAAUGGUUAAUUUAUUCCAGUGUAUUAUUUUCAGAGAUCAUGUUUGUUUAAGCCUCCAAGUAUGCUAUAAUUUGGUCACUUUUGAGAUUCAAUUAGAUUAGCAUAGUCUUCUCCCGGAGCAGAAAAAUGGAGGUCAGAAAUGUCAACUCUGAUGUGCGUCAGGCUCAAUGAUGCCUGCCUCCUUGCCCCUCCCUAAACAACAUGGUCCGCUUCAGCUUGCAGGUUGCCACUUCCUCUGUUCUCAUUGAUUUUCUUUGAACGGUGUACUGAUCCACACUGAAUGUGUAUGAAAAUGUUUUUGCUGGGGCAUUUGUGCACCAAGCCAAUGGGUAAGGAAAUUGGUGAACUGGGAUCUAACAUUGUUAGUCAAGUGUCUAGGUGAACAAUUUGUGGCCAGCAUGGAAAAGACAUCUCGUGAAAAUCUAGGUAUGAGAUGCCUUUUUGCAUCCAGUGUUCUUCCAUAUUAGUAUGUUGUGGCGUUGUGAAAAAAACAUAUGUCAGUCCUGGAGUACAAAUAAGUUUACUUUUGCUUUUCUUUUGGUCAUUUUGUUGAUGUGUUUUUUUCAGUGCAAUUGCUUCUAUACAUAUCGCUGGGUUUAGGCUCCACUGGAUCAAAGUUCUGGCUCUUGUUUCUCAAGUUCUGUAGACGUUAGAGGAGUAAUUAACAUUCUCUUUCUUCCGAAUGGGUGUAUGUGGAUGCAUACAGAUAGUAGAGGAGCAAUUUCCAUCCUCUGUUUUUUUACCGACCAUAUGUGGAUGUGCAUAAAUUGUUCUUUGUUUUUUAACGAGUAAAUGUUGAUGCACAGAAAAUUUAUAUGGUGGGUUCCAUUCUGUUUUAUAUGCAUGCCAACUCAGUAGCUAAUUAAUUCAGGUCCAUUGAAGUAAUUAUAGUUGUAGCUCAUUCUUAUCAUUGUUAAGAGGUAAAUGGAAUGAAUCAUCAUACAAAAACCACUUGAAUAAAUCUGUUUAAAUGCUUUGUUUCUCUCUCGAACCGUUUACCUUAUCUGAAUUACCAUUGAACCAUGGUAUUGUUUUAUUAAUGUAUCAGCAGAAGCGUCACUCCAGAAACUCCUCCAACAUGCUGAGAGAAGAGUUGAUUCUCAGCUCAAAGACGCUGAAAUCAAAAUUGUGGAGGUUCAGAAGGUAAAGCAAUCACCAUUUCCCAGGGAGGGAUGCCGCAUCAAUCAGAUCCUAACCUUAUUCACAAACUCAUCACCGAAACUGCAGAUUGAUCAGGUUCACCUGCUCUACAUAAGUAGAUGGAGUUUUAAGGUGUUUCUCUUCAAAUUACUAAACUGAAUAAUAGUAAUCUCUACCUGUAAAGAUUCUCUGUAGAUACUGGUCGUAUUUUAGGAUCCCAGAUGAAAGGUGGUUCAAUUCCAUCAAGAUUCUUUAGUGAUCUAAUAUUUGAGCACGUAGAAUCUGAUUGUUUGCUUUCCUUAUGUUAUAGUUGUAAAAUACUAAUGGGUAGUUUCUGAAUAUUUUGUUUGUAGUCUCCACUCAUGUGAAAUUGCUCAUUCAGUUAUCUUCUAUGUAUAUGUUGCAGGUUACAAACGGUAUGGUAUCUUUUCUGUUAUGGGUGCUUUGACAAAUAAAAUGGAAUGUCGCUUUUGAUGUUGAGAGAAUAUCCAAUUGAGCUUCUUUCCGCAAUAAAAAUUAGACAGGAAGGGUAUGAGGGAGGGGUGUAUUAAAUCCAUAUGAGUUGAAGUUAAAUCCAUGGAUGAAGAAACAAAUAGAAACGAAGUAAAGCAUAGGAAGAAGAGAUAGGUAGAUUUUACAAGUACAAGUGAAGGCCAGUUGGCUGGAGCAAAACCAAUAUGUUGCUUCACCAAGCUACUGAGAAAGGAGAAGAAAAAAGAGAAAGCUGAGUCAUUAUGUAUUCAGGCCUCUUGACAUUCUCCUCUAAUUGGGCCUAACCCUGUUAAGCCUUCAUGAGCCAAGUAUGGUGGAUUCUUAGAUGACAACUUGAUAUGUAGUUCUCCUAUUACAGUGCUUCGAUCAGUUAAUACUCCCUCUGUUGUGAAGUUUA